CUACCCUGUGGACGGGAAUACUCUCGGGAAACUGAGGCUAAUCCCCGAUAACGCUUUGCUCCUGGAAGGGGCAAAGCCGGAAACGCUCCGGCGCCACAGGAUGCGGCUGCGGUCGAUUAGGUAGACGGUGGGGUAACGGCCCACCGUGCCCAUAAUCGGUACGGGUUGUGAGAGCAAGAGCCCGGAGACGGAAUCUGAGACAAGAUUCCGGGCCCUACGGGGCGCAGCAGGCGCGAAACCUUUACACUGUACGAAAGUGCGAUAAGGGGACUCCGAGUGUGAAGGCAUAGAGCCUUCACUUUUGUACACCGUAAGGUGGUGCACGAAUAAGGACUGGGCAAGACCGGUGCCAGCCGCCGCGGUAAUACCGGCAGUCCGAGUGAUGGCCGAUCUUAUUGGGCCUAAAGCGUCCGUAGCUGGCUGAACAAGUCCGUUGGGAAAUCUGUCCGCUUAACGGGCAGGCGUCCAGCGGAAACUGUUCAGCUUGGGACCGGAAGACCUGAGGGGUACGUCUGGGGUAGGAGUGAAAUCCUGUAAUCCUGGACGGACCGCCGGUGGCGAAAGCGCCUCAGGAGAACGGAUCCGACAGUGAGGGACGAAAGCUAGGGUCUCGAACCGGAUUAGAUACCCGGGUAGUCCUAGCUGUAAACGAUGUCCGCUAGGUGUGGCGCAGGCUACGAGCCUGCGCUGUGCCGUAGGGAAGCCGAGAAGCGGACCGCC
rnacentral:rRNA from 1 species